rnacentral:rRNA from 1 species
GACGAACCGAGCGAACGUUAUUCGGAAUCACUGGGCUUAAAGGGCGCGUAGGCGGGCCGUCAAGUCAGGGGUGAAAGCCCCCAGCUCAACUGGGGAAGUGCCUCUGAUACUGGCGGCCUCGAGGGAGGUAGGGGCGUGCGGAACUUCCGGUGGAGCGGUGAAAUGCGUAGAUAUCUGGAGGAACACCGGUGGCGAAGGCGGCAUCCUGGACCAACACUGACACUGAGGAGCGAAAGCCAGGGGAGCAAACGGG